ACUGUCUUUCCUGUAACUGGCCUGGAGCCGCACUGCUGGGAGCUCCCCUCUGGCCUCCUGACUCCAUUAUAAACGAGAUUUCCCAUCAUUGUUUUUCACAGAGCAGAUGGCAGUGCUCUCAUCCAGCACCUCUGGCUCACUCUGCUCUUCUUGAGAAGUUGAAGUGGACUUCUGAUGGCUUUUCCACUGCUUGCAGCCCCAACGUUUUCAGAGUCGUCUUCCUCCUCAUCACUAUCAAAUUCACUUCUCUGAGGUAAAUGAGGGCCACCUUCAGCAUCUUAGGUGGACUUCUUUUCCUUUUGGACAGUUGUGGACGUUGCUGUUCCAUUUUUUCUUUCCCCAACUUCUACUUUUCAUGUUCCAUUUUUUUAAAACCUUCUCAAAUCCAAGCUGGAAGCGUUGUGCAUUCUACUGCAUCGAUUUGUGGAGGCUCCUGCUCACAGGAAGUGCAAUGGCUGAACGCUGCCAAUCCCUGAAUGGUGGUGGCCUUUCUCUUUGAUUCUGGGGAGGCGCCGGGGGUCCUGGGGUCCUGGGUUGCAACAAGGAGGAUGAAAUCCAGCUUGUGGUGGGUGAACCAAAAGCAGCACCAUGCUGAUAGCCAAACCGGUCCACUGACCCGACUGCAGAGUUACCAGGUGGUCCACCCAAGCUGAGAUGGUUCUGGUCAAAUAUAUGCUGUUGUCGGGGGCGAAUCCCCCCACCCCCCCGUCCUGGCUGUUGCUGCCUUCAGAAGGAGGAACAAGGUCUACUGGGCCUGGUGUUGGUGGCAUCCAUGGCUGAUCUGGAGGGGCGUGGGGGUUGCUGAAGCAUUUCCCACUCUGGUGGCCACAUUCUGUGAAAGUUUGAAUCCCCUUGAAACUUCCCAUGAUUGUUUGGACCAGAUCCCCUCGGAGACGUGUCCUGUCCAUCUGGCACCAUUCCUAGUUGUGGUUCUACAUGCUUUGUUGUCCUGAAGCUUCUCUUUGGUCAAUCCAAGCUCGAGCCAAUGCAGCCCAGUCAACCUGGAUCCUGUUAGUACUGGAGUGGCUGCAUCCAUUGUUGCUGGUUCAAGGGUCACUGCCACCAAGGCUGUCCUCCUUGAUCCCACAGGCUGACUUCUAAG
rnacentral:lncRNA from 1 species